rnacentral:lncRNA from 1 species
AUAUUACAGUCGCAUAUCCAUCGAGAGAAAGGGCUAUAUCUCCACCGACCAUGUGUUGAAUCCGAAGGCUGUGAGGGUGAUUUGUUCCAUCGUCACCGUCUCAACCGCCCCCCAACGUCUACAUGCCAAUGACUCUCAGGUGAAGAAAGGACUCAAAUCCCUUUGCGUCAACCGUCAAUUACCACUGUGCCAUAUCAGAUCGCCGCUGCGGAUACCUAAAAUGAUUUCAGAGAAAAUUAGUAUAAAAAAUCAACUACACUCUACAAUAUAUCGAAAAUCAACUACAAACCACAUUUUUAUCGAAAAUCAUAAAUACAGAUCUAACCCGAAUCUGAAAAUUCGAUCUAAAAUAGGCAAAAGAUAGGAUGAAUUAACUGCUUUGCUCCGAUGAAUUUUUUUUAUUACCGGUUUCAUCAUCGGGCUGAAUGAAUCGGCAAGAGCCGCGACUCGAGGCAAUCGGGGAGCAAUUGUUGCCUAUUGAAUGACAAAUUUUGGUAUUUGGCGAGACUCAAAAAGAGUAAAGGAUUAACGAGGGCACCGUUGGGCAGUGACGACGGCGGUGGAUGGAGGGCAGCGACACGGCAGUGGACGGAGGGCAGCGACG